rnacentral:rRNA from 1 species
UAGGGAAUCUUCGGCAAUGGGGGCAACCCUGACCGAGCAACGCCGCGUGAGUGAAGAAGGUUUUCGGAUCGUAAAGCUCUGUUGUAAGAGAAGAACGUGUGUGAGAGUGGAAAGUUCACACAGUGACGGUAACUUACCAGAAAGGGACGGCUAACUACGUGCCAGAAGCCGCGGUAAUACGUAGGUCCCGAGCGUUGUCCGGAUGUAUUGGGCGUAAAGCGAGCGCAGGCGGUUUAAUAAGUCUGAAGUUAAAGGCAGUGGCUUAACCAUUGUUCGCUUUGGAAACUGUUAAACUUGAGUGCAGAAGGGGAGAGUGGAAUUCCAUGUUUAGCGGUGAAAUGCGUAGAUAUAUGGAGGAACACCGGUGGCGAAAGCGGCUCUCUGGUCUGUAACUGACGCUGAGGCUCGAAAGCGUGGGGAGCAAACAGG